rnacentral:lncRNA from 1 species
CCUAUCUAGAGUGUGUCUAUUCCUCCCAACUUCUGGCCUUUCUUCCCAGUCAUGUUUCUACAGUAAUUAAUUUUACUUAAUGGAAAUUUCACUGUUCAACUUUGUCAAGCCAAAAAGAAAAACAAACAAACAAAAACCCUGGAGUCAAUCUCAUAUCCUUUCUCUCAAACCUUUAGAUAAAAUCCAAUGGGAAACCCUGGUAACUUUACCUCCAUAAAAUAUCUGGAAGCCAACCAGUUCCCCAGUUUCCUCUCCUUCUGCUGCUCCUACCCUGCUGCGUGACUAAUCUCUCUCAUCUUUAAUUUUGAGCGUCAACUCAAAGAAUUCCCUCCCUUUCUACACUUUUUGUCAACAUGGUAGACAGAUAAUGUUUUAAAAAGUUAUUAUAUAUUUUCUCAGUAUCCUGCAUCAUCUCCCAUUUAAUUCAGCAAUUCUACAGACAAUGCCUGGCAGCCAUAAGAUCUCUCACAAUCCAAUUUGACCUUACCUUUCCUCUUUUCCCCUUACCGACUCUAAUAUCUCACUAUUACAGAAUUCCUUCACAUUCAAAGGCCCUGGAUAUUUUUGCCUCACAGUAUUUGUUCUAAUAACCACUUUGACUUCAGUCUUUUUUUGUUUGUUUGUUUGUUUUGUUUUUAAAUUUUCUAAUUGGAGAUGAACACAAUAACUUCAUUUUAUUUAUUUUUAUGUGGUGCUGAGGAUUGAACCCAAGUGCCUCACACAUGCAAGUGCUCAUGGCAAGUGCUCUACCACUGAGCCACAACACAGACCCUUGACUUCACUUUUAUCAAAUGCUUAUUUUCUUUAAGUCUUCAAUCAAAUUUCACCUUCUUGAUGAAACCUACCUGCCCUGGCCAUCCAAGCAUACUGCCAUCUCUUCACCCUCACUCCUGGCAUUCCAGAUUUACCUUAUCCUGUUGAAUUCUUCAGCCAUUUUCCAUGUCAUUUAUUUUUUAACAUGCUCUCUAUACUUUAUUCCUUUACUGUGCUUUGUACUUUUCCCCGUCUCUGCCCAAAUACACUAAAAGCUCAUUGAGGACAGGGAUUGUUGUUAGUUUUCUCCAUGGAUGUGUAUGUCUCAGGCAACUGUAUGUUUACGUAGCAAGAAGAAGGAGUUCAGGAAAAUAGUGUGGAAAUAAUGAACUAAGUGAAAGAGUACUCAAGGAAACUGAUUAAAGUAGAAUAGCAAACACAGCUUGGAGGCUCUAGAGUGCCUUCCAGAAGCAUGAUCAAAGAGGCACUCACAAUAAUAGAGAAACUGGUGUUAUCUCCCACCAUUAGCCAUGACUUCAACUAAAACAAUGACAACAUGAACAAAUCUAACACCAUGACUUUCUUUGAGAAUUCACAAGAUAGACAUAGAAAGAAUACUGAGUCAUCCUGGCCAAGAUCAAGUAGGUAGAUCUUAAGUUAUUUAAUCAUUCUCAUAAAUGGGGUUCUCAUAAAAUGGAGAUACUCCUGGGUGUAAUGGGAGGGGACAUUUUUAAGAUUAAAUGGAAUAACAGACUAAAAGCGUCCAGCAUACAGAUGCACUUUAACACAAUCAAACUUUAUUCCUCUGUGCAUUCUUUGACUUCAUAUAUUUUCACACCACCAAGGGGCUGGAUCUGUAUGUAUUAGUGACAUCAUCUGAGAUGGGCCAUCCCUUCUAUCUAUUGAGGAAAAUUUUUCAGACAAUCUCCCUCAUCUAAAUUCCAUAAUAGAGCCAGAAGAGGUUCUUGAAAUAUAAGUCAGAGACCCCACCUCUAGGAUCAUUUUUUUAAUUUGGAAUUUUGAGCUUCCUGGUGUGUACUGGAUCAAAACCUAUAGUAAAUACUUCACUUUGAUCUCCAUUGAUUUCUCUCAGUUUUCAUUCUAUGAUGUCUCCCCCAAAUUCAUACCAUCCAAAUAACACACAUCUUUCUAACUCUUGCAUAUCCUGAAAAUGUAUUUCCUACAUUUUGCUAAAAAUUUAAGUAACUUGGGAAAUGACCCAAGUUUAGUGUUCCUUUAUGAUGGCUUGUCUCAGAGAAGCCUGCAUUAUUUUGGGGACUUUAUUCCAUGUUUCAGAGUUGAAACUAAUAUUUUCUUAGUGAGUCCCAACUCCAUUCUCGGUUGGAAUCCAUCUAAGAUCAAAAUUUUACCUAUAUCCUAAAGAAUAUCUCAACAUCU